AGGCACGUAUGUCAAUGGUAGACGGCUUCCCUUACAAGGAAGAGGUUGGGGGUUCGAAUCCCUCCGUGCCUACCA
rnacentral:tRNA from 2 species